UUUGAUCACUGAAGUUAAGCAACAUUGAGCCUAGUUAGUACUUAGAUAGGUGACCACUUUGGAAUACCAGGUGCUGUAA